rnacentral:rRNA from 1 species
AUUGAACGCUGGCGGCAGGCUUAACACAUGCAAGUCGAGCGGGGUGAUGGUGCUUGCACUAUCACUUAGCGGCGGACGGGUGAGUAAUGCUUAGGAAUCUGCCUAUUAGUGGGGGACAACAUCUCGAAAGGGAUGCUAAUACCGCAUACGUCCUACGGAGAAAGCAGGGGAUCACUUGUGACCUUGCGCUAAUAGAUGAGCCUAAGUCGGAUUAGCUAGUUGGUGGGGUAAAGGCCUACCAAGGCGACGAUCUGUAGCGGGUCUGAGAGGAUGAUCCGCCACACUGGGACUGAUACACGGCCCAGACUCCUACGGGAGGCAGCAGUGGGGAAUAUUGGACAAUGGGGGGAACCCUGAUCCAGCCAUGCCGCGUGUGUGAAGAAGGCCUUAUGGUUGUAAAGCACUUUAAGCGAGGAGGAGGCUCUUUUGGUUAAUACCCAAGAUGAGUGGACGUUACUCACAGAAUAAGCACCGGCUAACUCUGUGCCAGCCGCCGCGGUAA